rnacentral:rRNA from 1 species
UUACGGGUGAGUAACACGUGAGAACCUACCUUCAGGAUGGGGACAACAGUUGGAAACGACUGCUAAUACCCAAUGUGCCGAGAGGUGAAAGGAUUUAUUGCCUGAAGAUGGGCUCGCGUCUGAUUAGCUAGUUGGGGGUGUAAGRGACCACCAAGGCAACGAUCAGUAGCUGGUCUGAGAGGAUGAGCAGCCACACUGGGACUGAGACACGGCCCAGACUCCUACGGGAGGCAGCAGUGGGGAAUUUUCCGCAAUGGGCGAAAGCCUGACGGAGCAAUACCGCGUGAGGGAGGAAGGUCUUUGGAUUGUAAACCUCUUUUAUUAGGGAAGAAGAAAGUGACGGUACCUAAUGAAUAAGCAUCGGCUAACUCCGUGCCAGCAGCCGCGGUAAUACGGAGGAUGCGAGCGUUAUCCGGAAUUAUUGGGCGUAAAGAGUCCGUAGGUGGUUUAGCAAGUCUGCCGUUAAAGAAUGGAGCUUAACUCCAUAGGGGCGGUGGAAACUGCGAGACUAGAGUACAGUAGGGGUAGCAGGAAUUCCCAGUGUAGCGGUGAAAUGCGUAGAUAUUGGGAAGAACAUCGGUGGCGAAAGCGUGCUACUGGGCUGAAACUGACACUGAGGGACGAAAGCUAGGGUAGCGAAAGGGAUUAGAUACCCCUGUAGUC